CCGUGAGGCUGCUCUCGGUCGAAGCACUGAACGGGCAUAUCGUCUAAUGAUUCCCGAGGCCGUCGACAGUAUCAGAAAGCUUGGCACUGGCAGGGCCCAUCCUUUGGCACAGGCUGCACAAUGGCAGCAACAGAGCCAGGCUCAGACACAGACGCAUGUCUCGCAUGGAUUACGCCCUCUGGUCCUGUCUACACUACUAAGAUAUGUGUUUUUUGCAUAUCCCAACUCCCCCUGAGACACCCUUGGAGAGUUGGGUCAGCCAUCAACGGUGACCCUGGAGCGAUUAGUGUCUUGCUCAAUGGCACAUCGACAGAUUUUUCACCUUGUCUGUUCAGGGAUUCAAACUAGCGACCUUUCAGU